GAAUUCCUUCAGGGCAGGGUGAGGGGUAUCCCAAUUCCCGACCGGUGGUGACGUCGACAAGGCGAAGUCCACGAGCGGUUGAGACCGCAGGAACCGGUGAAAGUCCGGUACCGACGGUAUAGUCCGGAUGGGAGAAGGAACAG
rfam:Kyrpidia tusciae DSM 2912, complete genome.